rnacentral:rRNA from 1 species
AUUGAACGCUGGCGGCAGGCCUAACACAUGCAAGUCGAACGAGUGGCGGACGGGUGAGUAAUGUCUGGGAAACUGCCUGAUGGAGGGGGAUAACUACUGGAAACGGUAGCUAAUACCGCAUACCAUCGGAUGUGCCCAGAUGGGAUUAGCUAGUAGGUGGGGUAAAGGCUCACCUAGGCGACGAUCGCUAGCUGGUCUGAGAGGAUGACCGGCAACACUGGAACUGAGACACGGCCCAGACUCCUACGGGAGGCAGAAGUGGGGAAGAUUGCACAAGGGGCGAAAGCCUGAUGCAGCCAUGCCGCGUGGAGGAAGAAGGCUUUGGGGUUGUAAAGUACUUUCAGCGGGGAGGCGUUACCCGAAGAAGAAGCACCGGCUAACUCCGUGCCAGCAGCCGCGGUAAUAC